AGGGCCCCGUAGGUGACCUGCGGAGGGAUCAUUACACAAAUAUGAAGGCGGGCUGGAACCUCUCGGGGUUACAGCCUUGCUGAAUUAUUCACCCUUGUCUUUUGCGUACUUCUUGUUUCCUUGGUGGGUUCGCCCACCACUAGGACAAACAUAAACCUUUUGUAAUUGCAAUCAGCGUCAGUAACAAAUUAAUAAUUACAACUUUCAACAACGGAUCUCUUGGUUCUGGCAUCGAUGAAGAACGCAGCGAAAUGCGAUAAGUAGUGUGAAUUGCAGAAUUCAGUGAAUCAUCGAAUCUUUGAACGCACAUUGCGCCCUUUGGUAUUCCAAAGGGCAUGCCUGUUCGAGCGUCAUUUGUACCCUCAAGCUUUGCUUGGUGUUGGGCGUCUUGUCUCUAGCUUUGCUGGAGACUCGCCUUAAAGUAAUUGGCAGCCGGCCUACUGGUUUCGGAGCGCAGCACAAGUCGCACUCUCUAUCAGCAAAGGUCUAGCAUCCAUUAAGCCUUUUUUUCAACUUUUGACCUCGGAUCAGGUAGGGAUACCCGCUGAACUUAA
rnacentral:rRNA from 1 species